UCACACUCACACUCACACUCACACUCACAUUCGCGCUCGCUCUGGCUCUCAAAAUCGAAAUCGAUUCAGAUCGGUGAGUGUUCAUCAGAGCCAUUUCAAAGUUCAAAGUUCAUCAGAGCCAUUUCCAAGAUCUUACAUCGGUGAUUCAUCAGAGCCAUUUCGAAGCUCUCUCUCAAAAUCGAUUCAGAUCGGUGAGCGACUCUCUCUCUCUCUGCUGUCUAAACCCUAAUUAUCUCUGUCAGUUCAGCUCUGUAAUUUAGAGAUUCAGCUCGGUCUCAGCGAAACAGAUCGAUGAUUCAUCAGAGCCAUUUCAGUUCUCUCUCGAAAUCGAAUUUCAUCUCAGCGAUUCAGAUUGUCUUUCUACCACAUCACGUAGCGGUAGCACAUCACAUGGCUCUGUUUCAGCUGGUCCUAGCUCAAGUCAAGCCACACAAAAGCAGACAAGGGGUCCCACAUAUAUGCAUGGUCAAUGGGGUACUAGUGAAGAUGGCGUUUUAAAAGUUGUUUAAAAUGAGUUGAAUCAAGUAGUUGAAGGAUACACAUCUCUUGCUUCACAUUUGGACGUUUUGGCACGAGAUGGGAGUCUUGCACCACUUACUUUUACGACUUGGCAUUAUGUCCCAAAACAAAACAAAGAUAACAUAUGGAGGGAGAUAAAGGUGGCAGCUCAACUGGUUAAUUUUUCGAACUAAAAAGCCUAUCAGUGUUCCCUAUCAAAAAGA